GAUUAACGCUGGCGGCAUGCCUAAUACAUGCAAGUCGAACGAAAGUAGCAAUACUUUAGUGGCGAACGGGUGAGUAACACGUAUCUAACCUACCAUUUAGUGGGGAAUAACUGUUGGAAACGACAGCUAAUACCGCAUAUGUUAUUUAUUUGCAAUGAUAAAUAAUGAAAGGAGCAUUUGUUUCGCUAAUUGAUGAGGAUGCGGCGCAUUAACUAGUUGGUAAGGUAAUGGCUUACCAAGGUAACGAUGCGUAGCCGAUCUGAGAGGAUGAACGGCCACAUUGGGACUGAGACACGGCCCAAACUUCUACGGAAGGCAGCAGUAGGGAAUUUUUCACAAUGGGCGAAAGCCUGAUGGAGCAAUGCCGCGUGACUGAUGAAGAUCUUCGGAUUGUAAAGGUCUGUUGUAAGGGAAGAAGUGCUAGAAUAGGAAAUGAUUCUAGUAUCGACCAUACC
rnacentral:rRNA from 1 species